rnacentral:rRNA from 1 species
GACGAACACUGGCGGCAGGCUUAACACAUGCAAGUCGAACGCCCUAGCAAUAGGGAGUGGCGCACGGGUGAGUAACGCGUGGGAAUAUACCGUUUAGUGGGGAAUAACGUUGGGAAACUAACGCUAAUACCGCAUACGCCCGAGAGGGGAAAGAUUUGUCGCUAAACGAUUAGCCCGCGUGAGAUUAGGUAGUUGGUGGGGUAAUGGCCUACCAAGCCUACGAUCUCUAGCUGGUCUGAGAGGAUGAUCAGCCACACUGGAACUGAGACACGGUCCAGACUCCUACGGGAGGCAGCAGUGGGGAAUAUUGGACAAUGGGCGCAAGCCUGAUCCAGCCAUGCCGCGUGAGUGAUGAAGGCCUUAGGGUUGUAAAGCUCUUUCGCCGAUGAAGAUAAUGACGGUAGUCGGAGAAGAAGCCCCGGCUAACUUCGUGCCAGCCGCCGCAGUAA